GAAUCUGCCAGUUUGGAUUGUGCGAGAGAGUGCGGGAAUAGCAUUCAAUAAUAACCCCCAGUAUCACUUUGACCAGCAUGAACAUCAAGAGUCUCUUUACAAUCAGCAAGAGACGGCGCACUGUUUACUGUAUGAGUGAACUGGAGUUAUGCCAUGCUUCCUGGAGUCUUCUCGGUGAGGAGAGGAGUGGACAUGAUCGAGUGCACUGUUCACGUAUAAGUCUUACACUCCCCGUGUCACAAUGUGAACUUAAGACCAGAAGGCAGGAGGAGGCUCCUUUCACCCAUCCAAGAGAUCUGCUCCAGCAGUGGGACAGAGCAAAUAGCCCUGUAUCUGGGCCUGGGGAUCAUGAGCACAUGUCUCCCAUGACCAGGAGUAACAGCCCAUCAACAUCACCCACUCCCUCUGAAGACCAUGCUUUACAGCAUGUUAAAGACAACUUUUAGUUUUUGUUUUCUGAAUCAACCACAACUCUUGAAGGUGUGAGCAAGGUGCCAGAGUCCCUUUGAAAGUUGUUCUCAUGGUAUUAGCAAAGGAAGCUAACAAACUGGCCAGGGGAAUUGAAUGUGUGGACAAUGAUAAGAGUUGUCCUUGUUGGUCAGUCUCUGAGUUGGAAACACAAGUCUAAAGAGUAACGUGGUGACUUGGAUCUAUGGAUAAAUAGUCCUCAGCUGCUUCAAGAAGACCAUCAUCCCAGUACCUAGGAAAGCACAUGCAACAUGCUUUAAUGACUACCGUCCAGUGGCUCUGGCCUCCAUAAUCAUGAAGUGCUUUGAGAGGCUGGUCAUGGCCCACAUCAACUCCAGUCUCCCAGCCCGCCUUGAUCCCCUACAAUUUGCCCACCGACCUAAUGGGUCCACAGCAGAUGCCGUUUCCCUAGCCCUGCACUCAUCCCUGAAACAUUUGGACAGCAAGGACAUCUACGUUAGACUCCAGCUCAACAACUACAGCUUCACCUUCAACACCAUUAUCCCCUCCAAACUGAUCUCAAAACUCAGAGAUCCAAGUGAAUAAAGGCAGCUACAGAGGCAUGAGGGAGGAGCUGGGCAGAAUUGACUGGGAGAGGAGCCUAGCAGAAAAGACAGUGGAACCGCAAUGGCAGGAGUUUCUAGGAGUAAUUCAGGAGAUACAGCAAAAAUUCAUCCCCAGGAAAAAUAAGCAGCGUAUAGGGAGGAUGAGGCAACCAUGGCUGACUAGGGAGGUCAGAGAUAGCAUAAAAGCAAAAGAGAAAGCAUAUAAUGUGGUGAAGGGCAGUGGGGAACCAGAGGAUUGAGAAGCUUACAAAGGCCAACAAAAAAAAAAGGAGGAAGAAGAUUAAAUAUGGGGGUGACCUAGCCAGUAAUAUAAAGGAGGACUAUAAGAGUUUCUUUAGAUAUAUAAAGGGCAAAAAAAGAGGCAAAAGUGGACAUUGGAGUGCUGGAAAAUGAUUCUGGAGAGAUAGUGGGGAAGAAGGAAAUGGCUGAGGAACUGAAUAAUUACUGUGUUACUUCACAUUGGAAGACACGAGUAAUAUCCCAAAAAUUCAAGGGCCAGGGGACAGAGCUGAAUAUGGUGGCCGUCACCAAGGAGAAGUUGCUCGAAGUACUGGCUUGAAGGUGGAUAAGUCACCAGGACCAGAUGGACUUACACCUAGAGUUCUUAAGGAGAUAGCUGAAGAGGUAGUGGAGGUAUUAUUGGUGAUCUUUCAGGAAUCACUAGAGUCAGGGAGAGUCCCAGAGGACUGGAAAAUCGCUAACAUGACACCCCUGUUUUUAAAGGGAGUAAGGCAAAAGACUGAAAAUUACAGACCGAUGAGGCUAACCUCGGCCAUGGGUAAGAUUUUAGAGUCCGUUGUGAAGGAUGAGAUUUCUGAAUACUUGGAAGUGCAUGAUAAAAUAAGGCAAAGUCAGCAUGGCUUCAUCGAGGGGAGGUCAUGUCUGACAAAUUUGUUAAUGCUUUGAGGAAGUAACAAGCAGGUUUAAUGAAGGAGAGCCAAUGCAUGUUAUCUACCUGGACUUCAAGGAGACCUUUGAUAAGGUGCCACACAGGAAGCUGCUGACUAAGAUAAGGGCCUAUGGUGUUAGAGGCAAAGUGCUAGCAUGGAUAGAAGAUUGCUUUCUGCCAGAGAGUGGGGUUAAAAUGGUCUUUUUCAGGAUGGCAGCCAGUGGCAAGUGGUGUUCCGCAAGGGUCAGUGUUGGGACCACGACUUUUCACUUUAUACAUUAAUGAUCUAGAUGAAGGAACGGAGGGCAUUAAGGCUAAGUUUGCAGACGAUACAAAGAUAGGUAGAGGGACAGAUAGUAUUGAGGAGACAGGGAAGCUGCAGAAGGAUUUGGACAGGUUAGGAAGUGAUAGAUGGAGUACAAUGUGGGAAAGUGUGAGGUCAUGCACUUGGGUAAGACUAAAAGAAGCAUGGACUAUUUUCUAAAUGGGAAGAAAAUUCAUAAGUCUGAAGCGCAGAGACUUGGGAGUUCUAGUCCAGGAUUCUCACAAGGUAAACUUGCAAGUUGAGUCAAUAGUUAGGAAGGCAAAUGCAAAUUCGGCAUUUACUUUGAGGGGGCUUGAAUAUAAAAGCAGGGAUGUACUUCCUAGGCUCUAUAAGGCCUUGGUCAGGCCACAUUUGGAGUAUUGUGCGCAGUUUUGUGCCCCAUAUCUCAGGAAAGAUGUACUGGCCCUGGAGCGGGUUCAGCAGAGGUUCACAAGAAUGGUCCCAGGAAUGAAAAGCUUAAUGUAUGAGGAAUGUUUGAGGACUCUGGGUCUGUACUCAAUGGAGUUUAGAAGGAUGAGGGGGAAUCUAAUUGAAAUUUAUGGAAUAUUGAAUUGCCUGAACAGAGUGGACGUAGAGAAGGUGUUUCCAAUGGGAGGAGAGACUAGGACUUGAAGGCACAGCCUGAGAGUAAGGGAAGACCUUUUGAUCAGAGAUAAGGAGAAACUUCUUCAGCCAGAGAGAGGUGAAUCUAUGGAAUUCAAUGCCACAGAAGGCUGUGGAGGCCAGGUCAUUCCGUAUUUUUAAGGCAGAGAUACACAGGUUCUUGAUUGUCAAGAGGAUCAAGGGUUAUGGGGAGAAAGCAGGAGGUUGGGGUUGAGAAACUUAUCAGCCAUGAUUGAAUGGCCUGAUUUCUGCUCCUAUGUCUUAUGGCCUCAUGGUCUCAGCUCUGCCCUCCGCAACUAGAUCCUCAGCUUCCUGACCCACAGACCACAAUUAAAGAAGAUAGACAACUACACCUCUUCCACAAUAACAGUCAACACUAGUGCACCCCCAAGAUGUGUUCUCAGCCCCCUACUGUAUUCCCUGUACACCCACGACUCUGUUGCCAAAUUUCGUACAAACUCCAUCUACAAGUUUGUUGACGACACUAUCGUGGUAGGACGAAUAUCAAACAAUGAUGAGUCAGAAUACAGGAAGGGGAUAGAGGGCAUGGUGAUGUGGUGCAGUAAUAACAACCUCUCUCGCAAUGUCAGCAAAAGUAAAGAACUGAUCAUUGACUUCAGAAAGAAAAGAACACCACCCCCCCACCCCGCCACCAUCAACAUCAACGGAGCAGAGGUUCAGUGUGUAGAGACCAACAACUUGCCCUGGGCUUCCCAUGUAGAUGUGGCGAUCAAGAAGGCACAACAGUGCCUCCUCUCCUCAGGCGGCUCAGGAAAUUAGGCAUGUCCAUAAGGACCCUUGCCAACUUUUACAGGUACACCAUAGAGAGUAUACUGUCCGGGUGCAAUAUUGCCUGGUACGGCAACUGCUCUGCCCAGGAAUGUAAGAAACUACAAAAGUUCGUGUGCAUAGCCCAGACCAUCACGGAGGCCAACCUCUCAUCCACGGACUCAGUUUACAUGCCAUGGAAAGGCUGCCAAUAUUACUGAAGACCCAUCCUAUCCUGGUAAUGCUUUCCUACAACUUUUUCCGUCAGACAGAGGAUACAGAAGCUUGAACAUGCGUCAGCAGGUUCAAGAACAGCUUCUUCCUUUCUGUCGUUAUACUGAUGAAUGGACUCUGUAACUUCAAAUAAUGCUGGUCUUGUUAAUGUUGAUCUUGUCUCACAUACAGUAUAAGAUGUAUGCCUUACUCUGUCCAAGAUUUUUGUUCACCGUAUGAUCUGCCUGUACUGAGGUUGUUGACUUAUUUGCCAAGCUGGCUUGUUUUUGAACAAAAACAAGCCAGCUCAGGGACCAAGUCAACAACCUCAUCCACAAACCAAGCUACAGAUCUUUGCCAAAACUUUAAAUCUGCCUGUACUGCUUGCAAGAAAACUUCACUGUACUUAGGUACACAUGACAAUAAAUCAAGUCAAACAAAAUAGUGCUGGAAGGCACCCAGGAAUGGCACUGCAUAACUAGUUCUGGUUGGGAAGGUGGCUGAGUCUUGAAAUAGAUUUUUGUCUUGUUUGACAGAUUUUACAAAAAAGCUGAGGGUUUCUUCCUAGUUCCCAGAGCAAUCUUUACCUCUCGACCAAUGUCAUUGUCACAUGGCUGUGUGCAGAGCUCUUGCCAUAUUUUCUGAUUUACAACAGUGGCUUGUAAAAUGACCCUUGUAAAAGCCACUGCAUCAUGACACCAAGAAUAAACCUCAAUCUU